AUGGGGAGCAUUACUAACGGGGACAAUCAAGAAGAUCUUAACCAAUCUCUCUUGCCACAAUCGUCUAUCCAAGAUGAAGAAGAGCAUAAUUUUAAAGACCUCGCAUUAAGGGUGUGGAUUGAAUCAAAGAAGCUAUGGCACAUUGUUGGACCCGCCAUCUUCAACAGACUGGCUUCCUACUCCAUGAUCGUCAUCACUCAAGCUUUUGCUGGUCAUCUCGGCGAAAUUGAACUCGCUUCCACCUCCAUAGCCAUGAAUGUCAUCAUCGGCUUCUGUUUUGGCCUCGUGGUAAUUCAUCUCUCUCUCUCUCUCUCUCUCUCUCUCUCUCUGCGUUUUGGGGAUAUACUGUGACUUUGUCUCUCUUCUGUGUUUUUUUGACAUUGUUGUAGGAAGUUGAGAAAUUUAGCAGUUUCUCUUUUGGAUAAACACUACUCUUUAACAUUUAUGCUACAUUUUAUUAGUUAGGGAUGGCGAGCGCAUUGGAGACACUAUGUGGUCAGGCUUUUGGGGCAAAGAGGUACCCUAUGUUGGGCAUAUAUCUUCAAAGGUCAUGGAUUGUGCUGUUCCUAUGUUGUGUUUUGCUCUUGCCCUUUUACGUUUUUGCUGGUCCCAUUUUGAAGCUCAUAGGACUGUCCAACGAAGUGGUGGAGCAGACAGGGUUGGUGGCUCAGUGGCUCAUACCUUUGCACUUGAGCUUUGCAUUUUACUUCCCAAUGCAAAGGUUCUUACAGUCCCAGCUCAAGACAUUAGUGAUUGCAUGGAUGUCUUUGGUGGCUCUAUUGCUGACUGUUUUGCUUAGUUGGUUGUUCGUUUUUGUGUGGGAUUUUGGACUCGUUGGUGCCAUUGUUGCUUUGGAUAUCUCGUGGUGGGCUUUGGGUGUUGGCUUGUUGGUGUAUAUUGUGUGUGAUGGAUGUCCUCUGACUUGGACUGGUUUGUCUGUGCAAGCCUUUUCAGGGCUCUGGGAGUUUCUUAAACUCUCUGCUGCUUCAGGAGUCAUGCUCUGGUAUGUAAUAUACAGUGAUGUACUUCUAGUUCAAUACUUAUACAAAAACGGCAACAUUUUUUUUGUAAAUUAUGGUUAUUAUGAUAUGUUGCAACUGGUACAUAAUAAAGCAGUAUAAGUGAUAAACAUAGUUUAUGGUUCAUAAUUUCUCUUUUGCUGGUGAUAUAUGCAGUUUGGAGUUUUGGUACUACAAAAUACUUAUGUUGAUGACUGGGUACUUGAAGGAUGCUACUAUAACCGUGGAUGCCUUGUCAAUCUGGUUUGAGACUUGCCUUGAUUUGUUAAAGUUUAGAAUAUAUUUUAUCAUAAAAACAAUAUCAACAAUAACCAAACUCAGUCCCAUAUUUUUAAUUAGGCUAUGGAACAAUUGCACUUUGAAUAUGACACUAUGAUUAAUAAUUUCCUAAUAUCUCUUCUCUUUUCAGCAUGAAUAUCAUUGGGUGGGAGAUGAUGAUCCACUUGGCUUUUCUUGCGGGUGUUGGGUAUCAUUUCUCAUCCCUUUCAUAUUUUUUUAGUUUCAUAGUUAAUCUUAGACAUAAUUUGGAAUGAACCUACAUACAAACCACCACAAGAGGAUAUCAUAAUGCCCUCCUUAAUAAGAAAAAUUAGGUUUAAAAUCCUCUCUACCACAUUGUUGUGAGUCUUGGGGGUGAGAGACCCAAAGGAUCUAAUUAAAUGACUCGAUCUCUCAAACUGUAGACUCAUAAAAGCAUCCUCGGCAUCACGUGGGUCACCAUCUUAAUUAGAACUCCGAUAUGAGCCAAAUUAAAAUAAAUAGCCAAAUAGCCACAUUUCAAGAUUACUAAAUGUUACCAUAGUACUUACCCAAAGUACCAAGAGGGAGAAAGUUUUUAUUUUUAUUUUUAUAAUUCAAUAGUUGAAAGAGAGGAGUUUGAACCUGAAUGUCUCUAUUAAAAAAACAAAUAGAUUUUUUUUCCCUAUAAGGUAAUGAAUAAGUAAGUUGUAUAUCAAUUUUAUAUGUGAGUGUUUAGAUUUGCGUUUUCUCCUCAUGUUCAACGUUUUUGUUUUAUUAACGCUAGGACCCAUGCUACAAUAAAACGAAAUAAACUUUGAGAAGUGCCAACUAAAAUGCGUAAAUGAACAGUAACCCGCACUGUUCAUGUACGCGGAUUAUACUGUACAAGAGAUAUUGUGCACUGUUCAUAGGACCCACAACCAUUUUAUUCAGAAAAAAAAUAUUAAAAAUGGGUCCCCACAAUACUAUUUAUACAUUUAAAAAUUAUUUUGCUACAGUGUUUUCAGUUUUCAGCCAAAUAAGUUGUAUCCAAACGGACAUAUAUCCAAAGUUAUAUAUAGUAAGAUCAAUAAGAAUAUUCUCCGUUGGUUAAUUAUUUAAUUAGUAAUUAUUUCACAGUUCAGUAAGAGGCUGUGAAAAUUAUUGAAAGGUCGUUAAUGGUGUAACUUCAUUUCAAAUUUUUUGCCAUGAAAUUCACAGAGUAAGGGUAGCCAAUGAACUGGGAGCAGGGAAUGCUAAAGCAGCGAAAUUUGCAAGUAUAGUGUCUCUGGUGUAUUCCACAAUGCUUGGACUCCUUUUCUGCCUAUUAAUCUUGAUUUUCCACGAUGAGUUCAUAGACAUAUUUACAUCCAGCACUGAAGUGGUUCAAGAAGUUGAUAAAUUGUUGUACCUCUUAGGUGCCGCAAUUCUUCUUAACAGCGUUCAACCAGUUUUAUCAGGUGAGUUCCUACUUUCAACCCUAGGGCCGGGCCUAGAGAAUGUAUGUCACACACCUUAUUUUAUGUUUAUUCAGUUUAAUUGGCUUAUUAUGUGCAAUAUUUAUUUUACUUUUUUGACAAGGCUCAUGUGCAAUUUUUAAAGUCUUUAAGGGUGUGGAUUGAAUCAAAGAAGCUAUGGCACAUUGUUGGACCCGCCAUCUUCAACAGACUGGCUUCCUACUCCAUGAUCGUCAUCACUCAAGCUUUUGCUGGUCAUCUCGGCGAAAUUGAACUCGCUUCCACCUCCAUAGCCAUGAAUGUCAUCAUCGGCUUCUGUUUUGGCCUCGUGGUAAUUCAUCUCUCUCUCUCUCUCUCUGCGUUUUGGGGAUAUACUGUGACUUUGUCUCUCUUCUGUGUUUUUUUGACAUUGUUGUAGGAAGUUGAGAAAUUUAGCAGUUUCGCUUUUGGAUAAACACUACUCUUUAACAAUUAUGCUACAUUUUAUUAGUUAGGGAUGGCGAGCGCAUUGGAGACACUAUGUGGUCAGGCUUUUGGGGCAAAGAGGUACCCUAUGUUGGGCAUAUAUCUUCAAAGGUCAUGGAUUGUGCUGUUCCUAUGUUGUGUUUUGCUCUUGCCCUUUUACGUUUUUGCUGGUCCCAUUUUGAAGCUCAUAGGACUGUCCAACGAAGUGGCGGAGCAGACAGGGUUGGUGGCUCAGUGGCUCAUACCUUUGCACUUGAGCUUUGCAUUUUACUUCCCAAUGCAAAGGUUCUUACAGUCCCAGCUCAAGACCUUAGUGAUUGCAUGGAUGUCUUUGGUGGCUCUAUUGCUGACUGUUUUGCUUAGUUGGUUGUUCGUUUUUGUGUGGGAUUUUGGACUCGUUGGUGCCAUUGUUGCUUUGGAUAUCUCGUGCUGGGCUUUGGGUGUUGGCUUGUUGGUGUAUAUUAUGUGUGGUGGAUGUCCUCUGACUUGGACUGGUUUGUCUGUGCAAGCCUUUUCAGGGCUCUGGGAGUUUCUUAAACUCUCUGCUGCUUCAGGAGUCAUGCUCUGGUAUGUAAUAUACAGUGAUGUACUUCUAGUUCAAUACUUAUACAAAAACGGCAACAUUUUUUUUUUUUUAAAUUAUGGUUAUUAUGAUAUGUUGCAACUGGUACAUAAUAAAGCAGUAUAAGUGAUAAACAUAGUUUAUGGUUCAUAAUCUCUCUUUUGCUGGUGAUAUAUGCAGUUUGGAGUUUUGGUACUACAAAAUACUUAUGUUGAUGACUGGGUACUUGAAGGAUGCUACUAUAACCGUGGAUGCCUUGUCAAUCUGGUUUGAGACUUGCCUUGAUUUGUUAAAGUUUAGAAUAUAUUUUAUCAUAAAAACAAUAUCAACAAUAACCAAACUCAGUCCCAUAUUUUUAAUUAGGCUAUGGAACAAUUGCACUUUGAAUAUGACACUAUGAUUAAUAAUUUCCUAAUAUCUCUUCUCUUUUCAGCAUGAAUAUCAUUGGGUGGGAGAUGAUGAUCCACUUGGCUUUUCUUGCGGGUGUUGGGUAUCAUUUCUCAUCCCUUUCAUAUUUUUUUAGUUUCAUAGUUAAUCUUAGACAUAAUUUGGAAUGAACCUACAUACAAACCACCACAAGAGGAUAUCAUAAUGCCCUCCUUAAUAAGAAAAAUUAGGUUUAAAAUCCUCUCUACCACAUUGUUGUGAGUCUUGGGGGUGAGAGACCCAAAGGAUCUAAUUAAAUGACUCGAUCUCUCAAACUGUAGACUCAUAAAAGCAUCCUCGGCAUCACGUGGGUCACCAUCUUAAUUAGAACUCCGAUAUGAGCCAAAUUAAAAUAAAUAGCCAAAUAGCCACAUUUCAAGAUUACUAAAUGUUACCAUAGUACUUACCCAAAGUACCAAGAGGGAGAAAGUUUUUAUUUUUAUUUUUAUAAUUCAAUAGUUGAAAGAGAGGAGUUUGAACCUGAAUGUCUCUAUUAAAAAAACAAAUAGAUUUUUUUUCCCUAUAAGGUAAUGAAUAAGUAAGUUGUAUAUCAAUUUUAUAUGUGAGUGUUUAGAUUUGCGUUUUCUCCUCAUGUUCAACGUUUUUGUUUUAUUAACGCUAGGACCCAUGCUACAAUAAAACGAAAUAAACUUUGAGAAGUGCCAACUAAAAUGCGUAAAUGAACAGUAACCCGCACUGUUCAUGUACGCGGAUUAUACUGUACAAGAGAUAUUGUGCACUGUUCAUAGGACCCACAACCAUUUUAUUCAGAAAAAAAAUAUUAAAAAUGGGUCCCCACAAUACUAUUUAUACAUUUAAAAAUUAUUUUGCUACAGUGUUUUCAGUUUUCAGCCAAAUAAGUUGUAUCCAAACGGACAUAUAUCCAAAGUUAUAUAUAGUAAGAUCAAUAAGAAUAUUCUCCGUUGGUUAAUUAUUUAAUUAGUAAUUAUUUCACAGUUCAGUAAGAGGCUGUGAAAAUUAUUGAAAGGUCGUUAAUGGUGUAACUUCAUUUCAAAUUUUUUGCCAUGAAAUUCACAGAGUAAGGGUAGCCAAUGAACUGGGAGCAGGGAAUGCUAAAGCAGCGAAAUUUGCAAGUAUAGUGUCUCUGGUGUAUUCCACAAUGCUUGGACUCCUUUUCUGCCUAUUAAUCUUGAUUUUCCACGAUGAGUUCAUAGACAUAUUUACAUCCAGCACUGAAGUGGUUCAAGAAGUUGAUAAAUUGUUGUACCUCUUAGGUGCCGCAAUUCUUCUUAACAGCGUUCAACCAGUUUUAUCAGGUGAGUUCCUACUUUCAACCCUAGGGCCGGGCCUAGAGAAUGUAUGUCACACACCUUAUUUUAUGUUUAUUCAGUUUAAUUGGCUUAUUAUGUGCAAUAUUUAUUUUACUUUUUUGACAAGGCUCAUGUGCAAUUUUUAAAGUCUUAUUCUUUUUAAAUACAACUGUAUUUUUUUUUUUAAUUUAACUUUUAAACCUAAUAAACCAAUAUAAAUUAGCUUUCUCAAACAAGCACUUAACCGACAAUGUUAUUGAAUCACAAAAUUUUCAGCAUUGACAAUAGAUUUUUUCUAUUUUUAUUUUAUAAUUAGGGGAGGGAAAUUCAAACCUACCCUUUUUUUUUUUUAAUCAAGAAGAGAUGCAAACAUUGCUACUAAACCAGCAAUACCUUAAUUAAUACUACAAGAAUUAUAAAUCCGUUUUCUUGAUUUUGACAGGAGUAGCUAUUGGAUCGGGAUGGCAAGCUUUAGUUGCGUAUGUAAAUCUUGGGUGUUACUAUAUCAUUGGACUUCCACUUGGAAUUCUAAUGGGAUGGGUUUUUAAUCUAGGCCUUAUGGUACGUUUACCAACUAUAUAUCUGCCUUCUUUAAUUUCUAGCUUUAUGUGUCGGAUAAUUAGCAAGCAUCAUUAUGAUUGGAAUAAUUUAUAAUAGCAUCUUCAUUCAUAUCAUAUAUUUCUUUCUUUUUCAAGGAAUUUAUAUAAUGUCAUGAUCACAUUGCAAUAGAAAAUGAUUUAUGGACAACAUGCCCAGUGGCCAUUCACACUUUGCCUUAAUAAAUUUUUAUACAACUUUUUUUUUUUUUUUAACAAUUUUGACAUGAUAAGUUAUUAAUAGUAGAAAAUAAAGUGAUGUUAGUGAUAAUUUCAAGUGAAAAUUACUAAUAAAUCACCAUCUAAAUUAUGAAAAAUAUUGUACAUAUAAAAUUACUCAAUUUGCAUUUCCAAAGGGUGCUUGUUAACGUGGCAUUGUGGUUGUCUUUAAUUAUCAAAGGUUCAGAGUAAACGCUGGUCUAAUUCAGCCUAAAAAGAAAAUUGUCUAUCUCUUUAGUGAAUUAGAGGAGAGGAGGACACAUAAAGGAAGACAAUAGUGAUUUUUUAUUUUUUUGGUGCUGAAUAACAAAUUUCAUUAAGCAAGCGAAUGGAAACAGUGGACCUUCAAUUAGGAAUCGAAGAGGUAGAAAUGGGCCCUGAGUAGAUUAUAAGUGAGCCAGCCUAUCUUCACAGUUCACACUAAGCUAACCGUACACCAGGAAUGGAAGAGAUGAGAAUGGGCCCUGAAGUACGAGUCAGACCAAUGGGUCAACAAAUGGGAGCCUUUAUUGGCUUCUCCAUUAACAAGAAGAUGAUUCCCACAAAGAGCUUAAUAAGAUAGUUCUAUUAUAGGUCUUCAGAUUUGUCACCACACGUAUGUCAUCUUUUCCAACUUUUCUAAAAUGCUUAUUAAAAUUGGUGUACCUGCAGGGAAUUUGGUCUGGGAUGAUCAUCGGUGGGACUGUCAUUCAGUCUGUUAUAUUGGCCAUCAUAACAAUUCGAAGUGAUUGGGAAAAUGAGGUACAUUUCCAUAUAUUUUCACAAUAUAUAUGGUAUCAUCACUUCUGCAUAUAAGCUGAUAUAAAAUUCAUAACCCAAUAAUUUCUUGGAUUUGCAGGCUGCGAAAGCUAGCAUACGUGUAAAUAAGUGGUCAAAUCCUAAACCAGACGAUCAAUCAGAGAUUCUACAUUAA
rnacentral:sRNA from 1 species